rnacentral:misc_RNA from 1 species
GAUGAAGAACGCAGCGAAAUGCGAUACGUAAUGUGAAUUGCAAAUUCAGUGAAUCAUCGAGUCUUUGAACGCACAUUGCGCCCCCUGGUAUUCCGGGGGGCAUGCCUGUCCGAGCGUCAUUGCUGCCCUCAAGCACGGCUUGUGUGUUGGGCCCCGCCCUCCGAUCCCGGGGGACGGGCCCGAAAGGCAGCGGCGGCACCGCGUCCGGUCCUCGAGCGUAUGGGGCUUUGUCACCCGCUCUGUAGGCCCGGCCGGCGCUUGCCGAUCAACCCAAAUUUUUAUCCAGGUUGACCUCGGAUCAGGUAGGGAUACCCGCUGAACUUAAGCAUAUCAUAAGCGGAGGA